GAUGAACGCUAGCUACAGGCUUAACACAUGCAAGUCGAGGGGCAGCAUGAUUGAAGCUUGCUUCAAUCGAUGGCGACCGGCGCACGGGUGAGUAACACGUAUCCAACCUGCCGAUAACUCGGGGAUAGCCUUUCGAAAGAAAGAUUAAUACCCGAUAGUAUAGUAUUUCCGCAUGGUUUCACUAUUAAAGAACUUCGGUUAUCGAUGGGGAUGCAUUCCAUUAGAUAGUUGGCGGGGUAACGGCCCACCAAGUCAACGAUGGAUAGGGGUUCUGAGAGGAAGGUCCCCCACAUUGGAACUGAGACACGGUCCAAACUCCUACGGGAGGCAGCAGUGAGGAAUAUUGGUCAAUGGACGAGAGUCUGAACCAGCCAAGUAGCGUGAAGGAUGACUGCCCUAUGGGUUGUAAACUUCUUUUAUACGGGAAUAAAGUGGAGUAGGCAUACUCCUUUGUAUGUACCGUAUGAAUAAGGAUCGGCUAACUCCGUG
rnacentral:rRNA from 1 species